CUGUCACGUCCCUCAUUCACGUGCUCUGGCAUUAAGGAUUUCUCUGUUUCCAGUCUGUCUGUUCUGGGAGCCCUCUCCAAACCACACGACCUUCUAGACAAUCUUCUCUAUAAGCUACAGAGUCAAUUGGGGAAUUAGCUUCUACAAGCCAAAUGAGGCCUACAGAAAAUGUUUGUCGAACAACCCUUUCGUCAUCUUCGAUAACAACACAUAGCUUAGGAUACAUUGCCUGAUAUUCCCUGCAGUACACCCGUUGACAAUGCCAGAAAUUCGAGAGAAGUCAUGAAUAUCUUCAAUCAAAUUAUAUCCGGAGGUAUAGAAGAAGGUAACGAAGAAGAAAACACACAAGAUGAUAUUAGUAGUGGGGAAAUAAUACUAAGGACUGUAGACCCUUUAGAAGAAGAUUCACAAAUGACUAUGAUUGAAGAGUCCUUGUCAGGGACAAAUACAUCUCAAUCAAGGUCCCAUCAACCACCAGAGUCUACAAUGUCUACACCAAUACCUGAAUUUGAAAAUGCUGCUAAUAUAGCUAAUAAUCCAAUUAAAGCUGCCCCUGAGACAGACGCAUUACAGGAGAUGGUGGGAAUAGCACGCAAUUUUAGGGAUGAACAAAACAAAGUAAUUGAGAUGUUUGGAAUUUUUUUAAAGGAUAGGAUAAGAAUAGAGGAGGAAAAAAUAGAAAUUGAAAGGGAAAGAAAUUAGAUAUUUAGAGCUGGUUUUGAAAAUUUAAGUAAAUGUGUAGAAUCAAUAACACAAUUAUUCUCAGCAUCAUCCUCACCAAACCCACAAUUUCAAGAAGAGCCAUAAUUGGAAAUCGCUAAUAAAAUUUUAUAAUAAUAA